rnacentral:rRNA from 1 species
AUACGGAGGGUGCGAGCGUUAAUCGGAAUUACUGGGCGUAAAGCGUGCGUAGGCGGUUUGCUAAGUCAGAUGUGAAAGCCCCGGGCUUAACCUGGGAACUGCAUUUGAUACUGGCAGACUAGAGUAUGAUAGAGGGGGGUAGAAUUCCUGGUGUAGCGGUGAAAUGCGUAGAUAUCAGGAGGAAUACCAGUGGCGAAGGCGGCCCCCUGGAUCAAUACUGACGCUGAGGUACGAAAGCGUGGGGAGCGAACAUGAUUAGAAACCCUAGUAGUCC